AAAAUAUUACCCAAAAGUUGUUUAGACCACUGUUUUCUCCAAGCCCAAAACUGGCCAAACCUCAAGGACAAAAAUGACAUUUUACUCUUCUAGAAUUUUUGUAACCUUUGAAGUUUAUAUGCACAUUUUUUUAAAAAUUUUUUGUUUGAUGAAUUUUUCUUAUUCAUCAACGUCUUUACUAUGUAGAUAAAUGGGUCUGAAGUGGCAUUGCUCUCCUUAAUUAAAAGUGACGAUGAUCUCAGGGUUACAGAAUAUUUUCUAUCACUUCAUGAUAAAGUUCUUGCGGCCGCAGUAGAAGCUGUGAUUGGCAGUUCUCAUAAUCAAAAGAAAAAACAGGGUAUCCCCGGUGCGCUUGUGAAUAUUCUUAAAGGAUUUAAAGGAGGAAAACCUAAUAAGAACAUCAACGUUUCUGAAGAUUUUAAAUAUGGUUUUAGCAAUCUGGAUGGAAUCUUUUCAAAGAAUCCAUUUCCCGAUCCACUUGAAAGUUUCUGAUGAUUUUAAAUAUGGUUUUAGCAAUUUGGAUGGAAGACAUGUGAUGUUAUUCCUUUUUACACUGGAUUUUAUGAUCUUUUCUAUUUGCUUCAUUUUUUUGUUCUUAUUUUGGAUGAAAUUACAUGUGGAUAUUGCAUUAUCUCUUCAUGUUAUACAGGUUUAAGAGAAGAAAAUUAAGAAAAUUGCAAGCAUGAACAUGGACCCUUCAAAAGUUGCUGGAAAGAACAAUAUUGCCUGUUCAAGUGAUUCUUCAAUUAUUAAUUCUUAUCUUGUAAACGAGGGAUGCAAAGAUAAAUA